GACCAUGAUUGUUUUGAAUUAAUGAAAACUGAAACAAAAGAACUUGAUAAUGUCACAGAAAUACCAAUACCUAAUGCUGAUCUUGAGCUUUUUGUAGAUGGAUCCAGGUACUACCUUGAUAGAAAACCAUACAAGGGAUAUGCAGUGACUACCUUUGAGGAAGUUGUGAGAAAAGGAUCACUCCCACCUGGAUGCUCUGCACAGGAAGCGGAGUUGAAAGCAUUCACUGAGGCAGGUAUAAUGGCUGAAGAAGUAACUACUGUGAUUAAGAACAAAGAUACUCCCGCACAAGUGAUGGUCAUGAUGGCUCCACCCUCAACAUCUGCAACAACUA